rnacentral:lncRNA from 1 species
CGCGGCAUGGCGGCGGGAGGGCGGUGAGCGGGGCCGGGCGGAGCGGGUUCUGUCCCGGGAACGGGGUCGGGCUUCAGUCCGGGGGCAUCGAGGGGCUCUCGGGAGAGGAGCUCGCGGUGCUGCCGGUCACCGAGAGGCAGGUCCCGGCUCGCAGGCGGGCUGCGUGGCCUCGCGAGAGCUGUGGGUGCCGGAGCGCAGGCCGGGGCGAGCGGGGCGGCUCCCAGGCGGCGCCGCUGCUGCCUUGGGCAGGGCGGUGGCAGCCCCGUGCUCCGUCGUGCGGCGGGAGCUCUCGUGUUUUGUCGCUCUUCGUUGGUACGUGGAGGGGAAACUGGCGUCUCGCUUGCUCUCGUUGUGUUCUUUCCAUCGUGGCGGGCCUUGGAGAUGCUGUCGGGAAGCGCAGGGCUGCGUCCGGAUGGGAGGUUUUGCUUUUGGUCUCGCUCUGUGGAGUUUUGCUUAAGGCCCGGAGCGCGACAGCACGAAGCUGUGGGUGGCGGGGCCUGAUCUUGCAGCAAGGGUGGCGACAGCAUCGUCUCGCCACAUGUGGUGUUACCCGGCAAAGCCUCGAGGCAGAGCCUGAGCGCCCCGCCCCCACCCCCCCACCCUCGAUUCUGUGGUGCGGCUCUGGCUGUGCUGUGCUGUGCAGCAGGAAGGUAUCCUGUUGUUUGCCAGUAGCUCACUCACUGUAAAAUCCUGAUAGUGACAUGGCACAGUUAAGAAAUAGUCCAAGUCAGCAUGUGAGGUGCUGUCCUUCAGAGGCAAUAUCUACAGUGCCAGCAAGUGCUGCGGGGCACGGGGGCAGCUUCCUCUCAGGGAAGGAUGUGCAAGUGUAAAGCUGUGAAUACAGGCUAGGGAUGCUGCCUUCAAGUAAGUGCAGAGGGCGGUUGUGCCUGAUGCCAAGCCGUGACUCCCCGGUGUGCUUUGGUCCUUGUAACGCUGAACUGCAGCCAGCUGGUUUGCCUAAAGUUUAGGCUGUGAACUGAAGCAGGUUUGGGAGCCUUUUUCGAGUGGGGACAAUUUUUGUUGCUUUAGUUGAGUGAUAUGAGCAGAAGGAGUGGCGCUCAUGCAGAAUGCAGGCACAGUGUGCUGUGCCAUCUGUGAGCUUGUGGCAGAGGCAGGUGGUGAAAGUGGCCAUGGCUGCUGCUUGGCAGCCUACGUGAGAGCUGUCAGUGCUGGUCACGUGGCUGGGAUUGGUCGUGCCUGAAACAUAAGUAAAGUGGGAAAAAGAAGGGUGACUUGCAGGCUAUGAGGAGGGGAUUUUGUGUUUUCAUGGAGUACAAAUCCGUUCCCUUUUCUGAUGUGGUUUUGUGCGUUGGUGUUUCAGGUGUCUGAAAGAGGACUCCCCGUUGGAAUUUGUACCGAGAAAACCCCAGCCUUGUGACUUUUCCGCUGCAGAAUAUCGAGGAACAGAGCCUGAGUGGCCGAGAAAUUGAGUUGGGACUCAGGAGAACAAUUUGUGACUGUCACAAACUUCCUGUGUGGCCAUUGCAGGCAGUUGGUGUUGUACAGCACAGCAGCAGCACGGUUGGAAUACAUACACGGAGGUACGUGAAAUGUAUAACGUGAACUUGAAUAUUGUUAAGAUUAUUAUUGUUAAUUAUUAGUGUUAAUAAAACAGUCAUUGUGAAUGUGUGAUCAACUUGGGGGUAAGUUUAUUCUUGCCUGUUAAGCUUUUCCCUU